UUGAAGCAAGCGUCAUCAGUGAGCAUUCAUAUUAACUGACUCGUCUAAGAAAGGAGUUGUCUUUGAUAUUACACCAGAUCAAGCACAAUGUGGCGUGAUGCCGCUGUACCACCGCUCUCAACGGUCCGUUUGUCAGUGUGGUGACGUGUGAGUCAGCCCUGGAGAAGGAAGCAGCGCUGAGAGGCCAGCUGGACACACUGAAGGAGAUGGAGAAAGGAACCACCCGCCACGGCCUGGGCAUCUUCCUCUAAAGAUAUACAGACCCUGGAGAAGAUACUGUUACUGUGGCAUACUUAACCCUCCAAGAACAAGCUGCUCAGUGAUGGUCAUCUGAUGGAAUCUCGACUGUGGGAGAUCACCAGGCGUUGGGAUGCCCACUGGAAUGAGUGGAAGGCGGGUCUGUUUGUCACCCUGCAGACAGAGAGCAGGGGAGAACCCCGCCCAGGCCAUAGUCAAGAAUACACAAACUCAGCAGAGAACUCUAGGUCGGGCUAACUCGACUACACUUGUAAUUUUAUUCUACUCUAUAUUCGAUCACUCUUUGCUUAGCCCUAAACUGCUGUCCUAUGUAGCAUGAUACCGACCAAAUUCCUUGCUUAGUUCCAAGUACUGUAUCUUUACAAUAUUUUGUAGAAUAUAUAUAUUUGUUGUACAUAUGAUCAUAAUUUUAACUUCUUGAAGCAGUUUAUAAUGCAGUCAUAAUGCAGUUGCUGUUGUUGAUGCUGUUGUAUGUCGGCAAGAUAAUCAGUGGGAGAUCGCAGACUUCUCUAAGAACAGUUCAAGAGGACCAUCCCUCCUAUGUUUGACCUGAGGAACCCAGCCAUGAGAGACCGUUCCGUCCUCACACUGUGCAGAGCCGAGGGGGCUGGCGCCAGUCCCCACCUGGAGGAAUGUGGGCUCCCCCAAAAAUAUUUCACUCACAGCGGUGCUCCUAACUCCUCCUCAGCUACCCUCUGAUUGGCUGUGGCGUUCCCAAAAAAACAUUCCUAACUUCCUAUCCAUCCAACUCGAUCCGGAAUGUUUUGACAAGGAACCUAAAGAGGAGAGAGGGUGAGAGAGAUUUCCAUGAUAACAUUGUGGCUAAUCAGCAGUGAUGUAACCUUCUGAAUGAUCCCUCCUGACUAGGCUGCUCUCAGGGGAAUAGAUGAAAAUAAACAGAGGUUUACGUCUGAUGAAGGGAGGGGAAAAAAGCUAGAGAUGAUAAAAAAAAUGUGACAAAACAGAAAAGUCAGAAAGAAAACAUAUUUUCAAUGCCCUCUGCUAGGUCCCAGUGUGCACAGCGAGACUCCGUGGGGGUGGAGGGAGAGAGAAGAAGAUGGUGUGGUUGGGUUGUGUGUCUCGUCUGUAGUUAAGGAAGGGAGGGUGUCUUGUGGUUAAAGUCAAGUAUGGCUAAGGCACCGUGGUGCCGUUUGUCUCUAAGGGGUUUCCUAGUGAGCGGAAUCCAAGCUGUGAUUAAAUGGCAGAACAUAGCCAGAGGCUGACUUCUGGCACAGAUUCCUUAUCUAUCCUCCUCCUCCUUCAUGUCACCUCCUCCUCUUCCAUCAAUACUCCUUCAAUUGAUAAAAGAAAAAUAUAUAUAUUAUUUUUGGAAUAAAAAAAUAAAAAGUAUGAUUUUUGUAAAUGAUAUCAUAAAUAGGACUGGUGGAGUUAUGUCACACAUGCAGCAAACAAAAACAUAUGUAAAUGUCUGCUCUAACCAAAAUUAUAACCAACUAAUUGCAGCAUUACCGCAAAAAUGGAAGAGGCAAGAAGAAGGGGGAGAAAGUAAGCAACUUGUCUGUCGGCCCUGCAUUAAACACCACAAUUGGUAAAUAAAGACCAAAAUUGGUUAAAGAAAAUUGUGAUGAAUAAAAAAGUAUACCUGUUUCAUUUCAGGACCAAAUAAUUGACAGCUGUGCCAUAUACAGUGCAUUUGGAAAGUAUUCAGACCCCUUGACAUUUUUCACAUUUUGUUACUGUUACAGCCUUAUUCUAAAAUUGAUCAAAUAAAAUAAAAAUCCUCAGCAAUCUACACAGAAUACCACAGGGGCGCAAACGAGUCACCUUUCAGGGGAAUUUGCCAUUUUGAAUCUAAUAGGGGUGACCUACCUGAUUCUUGUAGAUCAAAUGAGAAAAGUUUGGGGGGUGGGGGGGCUUUGGAUCACUACUGGCUGUAUGAGAACGAGUGAUGCGUGUUUGGAGCAAUACUGGCUGUAUCCAAGGCUCAGCCAAACGUUUACAUAUCAGCAGAAUGCAGCGACUGAAGAGACAACCAAUGUGCUAGUUACAGCAUCAGCGCGCGUCUAGAAAGACAGCUUGUCAAUUACAGCAGCACGUCCACUGAACGAUAACGAAGAGGUAGGUGAGAAGCCUGACGAGUGAGAAGGUGAUGAAGUGUACAUCAUGAGCUGUAGCCGAAAAACAACUGGCAUUUGGAAAGUUUGAGGUGAGGGAGAAAGUGUGGUGGAACAAGUAUUGUUAGCAUUGUUAAAUAUCUUGCUAGCUGGAUCGAAUUCUCUGUUAGCUAGCCAGAGAAAUAUUGAGCAACAUUAGCCAACUUAACUGAUCAAAUAAUUUUGUUUAUGGUGUGAAAAUUAGCUGGCUAAUAAAGUCAGUCAGCUAUCAUUAGGUAGCUAACGUGACAACAUCAGAUGAGCUAACUUUAGUAACCAAACCAAUUCGCUAUCGUAUUAACUGGUAUAUGACUCCUUGCAGUUCCUCAAGUUAUAAUGCAUUAGUUGCUUACUGGACCCUGGCAAUCUGUGUGAAAUGUUAACUAUCUAAUGAACGAACUACUAUCUAUGAACUAAUGUUUUCCCUCUACAGUAUGUGGUUAAUUUUCAGAAUAAGAGAAUUAGGUGAAAAUGAGGCGUUGCUUGUUAAACAAGUGGAUUCAGGGAUCAAGUGUAGCUGUAGCUGGGCCUGGCUUAAGUUGGAUGCCACUAUAGAGGUGAAAGGAACACAACACACUUUCCCUAUGUCUCUCUUUUUCAGUCUCUGGAUAAAAGGGGUAUGCCAGAUGUCCUCUCUGCCUGAAAGAGAUCCGUUAUGCCAACAAAGUGUAUCAGGCUCUGCUGGAACAUUGUAGAACAGAUGUCCGCAGGCAGAAAGUGUACAAUGUAAUAAUGUGUAGCUCAAAGAUCUUGCUUUUGUUGUGUUGAAUUUGACAGUAACACGUGUGUGUGUGAGUGAGGAGGGAUUUAUAAAAUGUUUUACUCAGUGAACGUUAUUUUUGCACAGAUGUAGCCUUGUGCACUUGAUCGAUGUCUGCUGUAGUGGCCACUAUAAUAGAGCAAAAAUAGAAUGCCUGUUUGUUUCAUUCUAUUUCUACUUUAAGAUGUUUUUUUCCCAAGUGCAAUAUUUAGAUGUGUGUGGUCACAAGCAUUCUAUUAUAAAGGCUGUCAUGGUAAUAAUCAUUAUAUUAUAAAGGCUGUCAUGGCUAACUGAAA